UACGAAGGGGGCUAGCGUUACUCGGAUUGACUGGGCGUAAAGGGCGCGUAGGCGGUUCGUACAGUCAGACGUGAAAUUCCUGGGCUCAACCUGGGGGCUGCGUUUGAUACGUGCGGGCUUGAGUUCGGAAGAGGGUCGUGGAAUUCCCAGUGUAGAGGUGAAAUUCGUAGAUAUUGGGAAGAACACCAGUGGCGAAGGCGGCUCACUGGCCCGAUACUGACGCUGAGGCACGAAAGCGUGGGGAGCAAACAGG
rnacentral:rRNA from 1 species